rnacentral:sRNA from 1 species
AAAAAUAAAACAAACAUAAAAA